rnacentral:rRNA from 1 species
ACCCUUAGAUGUUCUGGGCCGCACGCGUGCUACACUGAUGCAUUCAACGAGUCUAAAACCUGGUCUGAUAGGGCUGGGUAAUCUUUUGAAAGUGCAUCGUGAUUGGGAUAGAUGAUUGCAAUUCUUCAUCUUCAACGAGGAAUGCCUAGUAAACGCGAGUCAUCAGCUCGCGUUGAUUACGUCCCUGCCCUUUGUACACACCGCCCGUCGCUACUACCGAUUGGGAAAAUUUUAGAGAGUCCUGGACUGAUGAUUGUUCGGCUUCACGGCCUUACUUUCGUCGGGAAAGAAUUCGAUAAUAUUUUUCUAGAGGAAGUAAAAGUCGUAACA